AUUUAUUUUUAAACACUCUCUAAUAAACUUUUAAAUCUGUAUUUGUUCUUAUCAGUUGAAUAUCUGAUAUGUCCUUAAUUUAAGGACUGUAUAUUCCGUUGGUUUUCCAAACAGGGGGCUGGACUAGGAGCUUGCUGUGUCCACCCCAUACAUUGACCUCAUAUUGCAGUGUCUCACAAGAUUGAUGCAUCUCCU
ensembl:snRNA U2 U2 spliceosomal RNA